GAGAUAUGACGUUUACAUUUAAGCUUCAGGGUUAAUUAAGAUUAAAGUGUAUAUUGUGUUGUGAAGUAUGACCGUAAUGCACAGUAUGUUUUGUAAACAAAGGAAGCAGUCCUGCUGAGCAGGAAUAUGAUCAAUUCGGAGAAGGAUAUGACAUAUGUACGUGUUU